GAUAUGUUUGAAUACACCAAAGAGGGAAUUUGUUGGCCUUGUUCAAAUUGAGUAGCCCAAAGUGGUAUCGCAUAUUUUAUAUCUGAAAGAAGAUAUUUAUAGAAACAUGGUUGAAAAUUGAGUUUAACUAUGCAAAGCCAGUGAAACUAUGGAACAAGUAUUUUGUCUGUUUUAGGUAUUUGAUGUUUAUCAAGCAAAAUGACAACAUGUUUGCUGAAAGUUUAUGGCCUUGUGGUGAUGUUAUAUGCUGUUGUGAAAGCCAAUGUUGUUGUGAAAACAAAUAAUGGCUCUCAAUAUGUGACCAGGCUGCUGCUUUUGGACCAUCUAUUCCUGAUAAAGGAAUAACGAUUCGCAAUGUGCAACGAUGGUCCGUAGCUGCUAUUGUCUACAAUCACCAUGACGACAAUACUUUGACAAGAAUGCACGGAGAUGGUGCGGAUAUCAAGAUUCCAUCAGUGUUUAUCAGAUGGUCAGACGGAAUUGUGCUGAGUCGUAACUAUUGUUACAAUUGUACCUCAGUAGAGCCAGGAAAAGGGGCGACUACAUUUCUGGGCGGAAGCCGGACCAGACGACCUUGACAGAUGUGUAUGAAGAUUUUAACAUUGAAAUGUAGCAAAAAAAAAAUCAUUGUUGAUGACAGUUGUUUUUUAGUGAUAAAUGACUUGAAUAGUGUUAAACUUCAGAAUACAGAGCUGCCAUAGUGUAAUUUUGUUGAGAAAUUCACAGUUCGUGUCCUAAAAUGCUUGUUUUACUAUACCGCAAAGAAGGAGAAAUGAUACCGGGCCGAGACCUUAUGUUAAACAAAGUACGGAUGCAUAGUGUAUAUUUUUUAACAGAUCAAAACAAGUCUUUUCACACUAUUGCAGAAAUAAAACAGAUUCAGUCUGAUUUAUGAACUUGGAAAA
rnacentral:lncRNA from 1 species